AGAGCGAACGCUGGCGGCAGGCCUAACACAUGCAAGUCGAGCGCCCCGCAAGGGGAGCGGCAGACGGGAGAGUAACACGUGGGAACGUACCCUUCAGUUCGGAACAACCCAGGGAAACUUGGGCUAAUACCGAAUACGUCCGUAAGGAGAAAGAUUUAUCGCUGAAGGAUCGGCCCGCGUCUGAUUAGCUAGUUGGUGGGGUAAUGGCCCACCAAGGCGACGAUCAGUAGCUGGUCUGAGAGGAUGAUCAGCCUCACUGGGACUGAGACACGGCCCAGACUCCUACGGGAGGCAGCAGUGGGGAAUCUUGGACAAUGGGGGCAACCCUGAUCCAGCCAUGCCGCGUGAGCGAUGAAGGCCUUAGGGUUGUAAAGCUCUUUCAGCGGGAAGAUAAUGACGGUACCGCAGAAGAAGCCCGGCUAACUCCGUGCCAGCAGCCG
rnacentral:rRNA from 1 species